AAAGUCGUAACAAGGUUUCCGUAGGUGAACCUGCGGAAGGAUCAUUAUCGAAUAGCAAGGAUUCUGGUUGUCGCUGGCUCUCUAGGGGGCAUGUGCACGCCUGGUCCAAACUUUUCAUUCUUUUACCCACCUGUGCACCUUUAUGUGGAUCGCGCGCGAAUAGACCUUUUUCGAAGUAACUUUCGGUUUUGAGACUUGCAUCUAACACAUGCUUGUUUCUAUUCUUUCGUCUGCGGUUCAUGUCUUUUCUACACACUACAAAUACAAAACCUUAGAAUGCUAACAAAGUUGGGGACUUUUUUUUACUGGGACCCUUCUUAAACUUUAUACAACUUUCAACAACGGAUCUCUUGGCUCUC
rnacentral:misc_RNA from 1 species